GGGCGGGAAUUCAGAGCCAGUCAGGGAGUGACUGACGGCCUGUUUCUCUCCUAG
rnacentral:miRNA from 1 species